rnacentral:rRNA from 1 species
GGGCCCCCCUCGUUUCUUCUAGGUACGUUCAUCUUCUCUCACGCAUUGUAGGUUUAUCCCUAUACAAAACAACUCUUACAACCCAUAAGGCAGUCGUCCUUCACGCGGGAUGGCUGGUUCAGGUUCGCGCCUGCUGCCCAAUAUUCCUCACUGCUGCCUCCCGUAGGAUA